rnacentral:rRNA from 1 species
UGGGGAAUAUUGCACAAUGGGCGCAAGCCUGAUGCAGCGACGCCGCGAGGGGGAUGACGGCCUUCGGGUUGUAAACUCCUUUCGCUAGGGACGAAGCUUUUUGUGACGGUACCUAGAUAAGAAGCACCGGCUAACUACGUGCCAGCAGCCGCGGUAAUACGUAGGGUGCGAGCGUUGUCCGGAAUUACUGGGCGUAAAGGGCUCGUAGGUGGUUUGUCGCGUCGUCUGUGAAAUUCCGGGGCUUAACUCCGGGCGUGCAGGCGAUACGGGCAUAACUUGAGUACUGUAGGGGUAACUGGAAUUCCUGGUGUAGCGGUGAAAUGCGCAGAUAUCAGGAGGAACACCGAUGGCGAAGGCAGGUUACUGGGCAGUUACUGACGCUGAGGAGCGAAAGCAUGGGUAGCGAACAGG